AAAAAAAUGGCCGAGGAGUUCCGAAUGCUGUGCUGAUGGUCAGGUCUUCACCGAUAACAAUGAACUGUAGUGUGGGGAUGUACAUUGUACUCCAAAUCCUUCUAGUGUGAGCUAUGUCCAGUGGGUCAUGCUGAUAGUUAAAGUCAGACCUUAUGUACACCGUGUGAACCUGGCCUUACCACCAGAGGAGGGGCUACCAGCCAAAAAGACUGCGAAUUUGCUUGAAGUAUACAUGGGUUUGAGCUCUCCCUGGAUGGAAACUCUGUGCCAUCUUCCCUGGGAGCAUACAAGUUAGAGAGAGUUUAUCUGUCAACCAUGUCCCUGUGGUUAUACCACACUCACUACAGGGGCCUCUAGCAGGAACAAGCGUAUACUGGACCCAGAAGCAGCACAAUGUGAGAGAUGAGGUUUAUCCUCACAGCGUUUAGAGGCAGAAAAUGGGUUCCAGUGGCAGUGUGAGGAAGGAUUUACACUCAAUUGGAACUCCUGCUCACCUUUCGUUGCUGUUUGGGACAUAAAAGUUAAGCCAGCAGCCGUCUACCAGACUGCAAGAUUCUUCUCUUCAUAAAGGAUGUCAUUUCCAGAUACACUGUGUUGGGUGUGGGCAAAAAUGCAGAGUGGUACCACAAGUCACCUAAGCCACCAUUCCCCUCACAGGCAUAAGGCUCAUGGGGAUGGUUCCAGCAAAGCUCACAAUUGUAGCCCUACAAACUUCAGGUAGGCGAUUAAACUGAGCUUCAAGAUAUCUAUGCACUUCGCUAUAAGUUCACACUUAGUUUGAGUGAAACUCACAAUUUCAGCAUCAAAAUCCAGGUUAAGAUCCCAGCCUUGAGCCUUGUCACCUUCAAAAAUUUUAAGUUAAGAUGUUCUAUAAGCUACAAACGUGUUCCCUACUUCCAGCCAUGUGGAAUCUACAUUUCUAGCUGAACUUUGGUCGGAACUAAUAUCAGACUCCCUUGCAGCACAGUGAACUUUUGCGUAUUUAUUUCCAGGCUGGUAUACUCCACCAGACUUCCGGCAUUUAAUAUUUUCUUUCAUCAUUUUUAGCUCACCUGAGCAUGAAGUGCUCAAGGUGAGCUUUUGUUAUCGCACUGUGCCCGUCGUCGUCCGUCAUCAACAAUUUGAUUUUAACACUCUAGAGGUCACAAUUUGGGCACAAUCUUAAUAAAACUUGGUCAGAAUGUUACCCUGAAUUUAAUCUUGGACAAGUUUGAUAUUGGGUCAUCUGGGGUUAAAAACUAGGUCACCAGGUCAAAUAAUAGGAAAAGCUUGUUAACACUUUAGUGGCACAUUUAUGACUGUAUUUCAGAAAACUUAGUCAGAAUGUAAAUAUUAAUAAUCUCUAGAACAAGUUCGAAUCUGGGUCAUGUGCUGUCAAAAACUAGGUCACAAGGUCAAAUUGAAGGAAAAGCUUGUUAACACUCCAGAGGUCAUAUUUAUGACUGUAUGUUCAUGAAACUUAGUCAGAAUGUUUAUAUUGGUUAGCUCUAGACCAAGUUCAAAUCUGGAUCAGGUGAGCGAUACAGGGCCUUCAGGUCCCUCUUGUUAAGAAAAGUACCUCAAGUCCUUCAAUGAAAUCAAAACUAUGACUAGACUAGACAGUAGACUAGAUAUUAAUUAAGGAACCAUAAUGUGUAGUAAGCCUUUUGGGUGCUUUAAAAUCAGAUAAGUAAACAGGACUCUCAUGGUUUAUAAGAGACCUUAUGUGGACCUUACAUUCUUUACUUGGGUAAGAGCAGAUUAAAUAUGUAAGAAGGAGGAUACAGAUGAGAGAGUAAACAGUGUUUUUUAAGGACCUCUUUUUUGGGUGGAUGGUUUCAGAGAUGCGGCCAUGACUGUGGCACAUGGACAUUAUAGAUAGAGACAGUAAGGAAAUGGUGAUAGCAGAAAACGAAACUAUCUUAAUAUGGUUUUCUGGUGUUAAAUCAACAAAGUGUUCAUAAUAUGUGGAAAAAUAAUCUCAUAGCUGAAAUCUAUUUUGCAAAUUCAUAAUAAAGUGGUGAUUUUACAUAGAAUAAGAAGGGCAAUUUCGUUGUUUGCCAUCACCUCUUGUGGCAGCAGUUAGUGCAGUGUUCUAGGGAUCAUCAUCUUUGCUGCCAUUGUCUUUGUUUGUUUUUGCAGGUGAAAUUCUCGUUCACAUUACAACUUGUAAAAGCAUGCUUAUGUUGUAAAUUAUUACUAAAGGGCCAAAAUUUAAACUCAUUAUUAGCAUGUUUUCGUUUGGUUUCAUUUCUAUUUUAUCGUGAAUUUCAAAAUGAUCCCUCAUACUUUAAUGUUCUUGCCUUUUAUAGGCACACGGGCAACUGUCAUAACAAGGCUCCAAAUAACAUCAACUUGUACCUCUGGGAUCUUUGCUUGAGUUUUUGGGCGUUUGCCAACAGCCCUUUGGCAACUGGCUGAUCGGAGAGGAUUAUAGUGUUGGUAGUUGUAAUGGUAAUAGGUUCUUCUGAUGUAUGAUCACCAACAUAAGAUACUUUUAAACAGUGUUUUUGUAUUAAGCUCACCCACAGUGACUUUUAUGAUAACAUUGAUUGUAGUAUGAUUUGGAUAAAUUCAUUGUGUCAAAGUAUUCAUUAUGCCAUUUUUCAUGUGUUACAAAGUUCAAUCUAAUUAAUGACUUUAAUUGAAUUGCCAAGUGCCACAAAUUUAAUUAGAUUUUUUACAUGAUGUUUAUUUAUUGUAUGUCACUAUGUGUUGAUUCUGUAUACUUGUAUAAUUUGUAUUAUGUACUUGACUUUUUUAUGACCAAUAUGCAGAUAACUAUAUGGAUGUUUUGUUGACUAUUAUAUAAUAUAAAAUGAAAAAUGAUGACCUUUUAAAAAAUCUCACGAAGAUGUUAGCAAACAAAUAUGUUGAAUGAUCAUGUUGCCAUCACUUAAUUAUGUUGUAUGAUCAUGUUACCAUAUCCUAUAUUACAUUAAUUGACUUGGUACUUGUUAAUAAAAUUGUGUUCAUGUUCUAGAAACUUCAUAGUUUUAAAAUGUUUAAUUCUGAAUCUAUGUAUUCAUACAUACAAUAAUGUUGUAUGAUGUUUUCAUCACAAAUAUGUUGUAUGAUUAUAUUUCCAUUACAAAUAUGUGCUAUGAUCAUGUUUCCAUCUCAAAUGUAUGAUCAUGUUGCCAUCACAAAUAUGUUCUAUGAUCAUGUUUCCAUCUCAAAUGUAUGAUCAUGUUGCCAUCACAAAUACGUUCUAUGAUCAUGUUUCCAUCUCAAAUGUAUGAUCAUGUUGCCAUCACAAAUAUGUUCUAUGAUCAUGUUUCCAGCAAAAAUAUGUUCUAUGAUCAUGUUUCCAGCAAAAGUAUGUGCUAUGAUCAUGUUUCCAUCACAAAUAUGUUCUAUGAUCAUGUUUCCAGCAAAAAUAUGUGCUAUGAUCAUGUUUCCAUCAAAAGUAUGUGCUAUGAUCAUGUUUCCAUCACAAAUAUGUUCUAUGAUCAUGUUUCCAGCAAAAAUAUGUGCUAUGAUCAUGUUUCCAUCACAAAUAUGUUGUAUGAUUAUGUUGGCAUAACCUAUAUUAUAUUCUAUGACAUUAUAUAUUUCAUAUAUUGUGUUAAUGAUCUAGAAAUGUCUUAGUUCUUGAUUAUUUACUUUGAUAGGUCUUAUGAUUUCAGGGAAAUCAUUUACAUGUGUUUAAUAAUGUUGUCUCUAAUCUGUAGUCACAGUAAGGGGAGUAACUCUUUUAGUCUUAUUGUCCACUUGAGUAAUCAAGUGGACUGAAUUGUCGUUCUUGUUGGUGACUCUUGUGUAAAUCUAGUCUUAUUGUUUGUGAUAUAUAUGGUGCAUAAUAUGAGUAAUAUGUUUAUUAUUUGGGUGAAGAGUACUAUACAGGGAUAUGGCAUAUUAUUGUAAAAGAGUUACAUAAUAAAAUGUUCUAAGUGACGAAGGUUUUGUGAUUUCUAUCACUUAAAUUAUUGCAUAAUUCCCAGUAAUUGUUUCAACACAUUGAAUGUUUGUUGUAGGCUUAUUGUGUUUGCAUGAUGCACAAAGUAGAUGGUCAAUUUGCAUUUACACAUAUUUAAUGCUGCAAUUAGCUCUUUUUUUCAGUUACUCGUGUUCACAUAUUGUUUGUUUUCCAAUGCAAUAAAUAUAUUCAUUUGAUAUUAAGUUUAUCUUGUGCAAUGUCAAUCGUUUUAUGACAUAACUGUGUUUAUCUGUUUCCAAAAUAAUUGUCAUGUUACAGAAAAGUAAUUUUGUAAUUUCAAACUUGAUUUCAUGAUAAUAGUAUUGUAUAUAAAAGUAAUAUUGAUAUUUUGAAUUUUAAUUCAAAGCAACCCAUUAAUGGUUAUUUUUAAAUAGAGUUUGAUUUUUUAUAAAUGAUCAUGUACAGCUAGCGAUGUGACGAUGAUCAAUUAUUAUCGACAAUUGAUCAGAAAGAUCUACAUCAGCGACACUUGAUAGUGAAAUUUAAACAAUCAAAUAUAGAAUCAAGGGACAUAACUGCUAUCGACUACCAGUCAAAACUGUGUCAUGAAAAUAUGUUUUGUUUCUGGUUAAUGCUAGUAAAUGUUGAAAUGUAACUUUAGGUGUUUCUAUGUUAAGUUAUCUAGUCAUAUUCUUAUCAAGUCAGUAAGUUACUACAUUACCUUAGUACAAAUGUUCUUUGUAAUAUAACUGUUAAAGGAUUGGUUCUCAUCUGCUCAUGUUUGUGGUUUAAAAGUGAUUUUUAGCUCUACUGGCCAAAGGCCACAAGUGCUUAUGCGAUGGUAAUGUAUACGUAGUAUGUGCCUCCGUGCAUUUGUAAACAAUCCUCGUUAACACGAUACAGCCUUCAGUUUUGAUUGUAUCUUGAUGAAACUUGUACAGUAUCUACAUAUCCAGUAGAGCUCGGUUCCUUUCGAAAACCAGAUCUGCCCAUGUAUGCCUAGAUUAUGGGCCUUGAUAGUAUAAUAAAAUCAGUGUGUCAGUAAACAAUUGCUCGUUAACACGAUACAGUCUUCAGUUUUGAUUGUAUCUUGAUGAAACUUGUACAGUAUUUUGAUAUCCAUUAGAGCUCCGUUCAAAAACCAGCUAGAUCUGCCCAUGCAUGCCUGGAUUAUGGGCCUUGAAAAUAUUAGAUUAUGGGCCUUGAUAGUAUAAAAAAAUGCUAUUGUGUAAUAAAUGCUUGCGAACAUGAUACAGUCUUCAGUUUUGAGUAUUCAGAUACCCAUGACGGGUUGGUUCUUUUCGAAAACAGUGAUGUUGACCACACAAACCCAGCCAGUAGAGCAUGGCCCUUUUGGGCCUCUUGUUUUAAAACAUGUUACCGAUUACAUUUUACUACAUGUAUAUAAGAAUUUAGUUUUCUCAGUCUCCUGAAAAAAAAUGUUCUUGUAAAAUUUAAAACUUAAAAAUAUUCAACUGCUUGUUGUACUUGUUUCUGACUGAUUAUCAAAAAGAAAUUGAUAUCUUUUUUGUGUUUAUUUUACUUAUGUAUACAACACUAAAUGUAAGACAUUACGUUUGUUAACUUAACCUAUUUAAACCAUUUCAAAAACAAAUAAAGGGUUAUAGCAAAUGUGUUU